UCCCCCUGGCAAUGGGCAAAAAAGACACCUUGUUGGCAGUACUGUCCUUGUGUCAGUCAGGGGCAGAGCAGAUGGCAGGCCUUUGUUCAUCCUAGCUUGCUUGAUGCCUGGCUUGAUGGUCAAGGCUGUUUCAUACCUAGGACACAUGA